rnacentral:rRNA from 1 species
GACGAACGCUGGCGGCGUGCUUAACACAUGCAAGUCGAACGGAAAGGCCCCCAUCUUGGUGGGGGUGCUCGAGUGGCGAACGGGUGAGUAACACGUGGGUGAUCUGCCCUGUACUUCGGGAUAAGCUUGGGAAACUGGGUCUAAUACCGGAUAGGACCAUGGUUUAGUGUCUCAUGGUGGAAAGAUUAUUGUUUUGGUGCAGGAUGAGCUCGCGGCCUAUCAGCUUGUUGGUGGGGUAAUGGCCUACCAAGGCGUCGACGGGUAGCCGGCCUGAGAGGGUGGACGGCCACAUUGGGACUGAGAUACGGCCCAGACGCCUACGGGAGGCAGCAGUGGGGAAUAUGGCACAAUGGGCGCAAGCCUGAUGCAGCGACGCCGCGUGGGGGAUGACGGCCUUCGGGUUGUAAACUCCUUUCGUUAGGGACGAAGCCGCACUUUUUUGGGGUGUGGUGACGGUACCUUUGUUAAGAAGCACCGGCUAACUACGUG